AUUGAACGCUGGCGGCAUGCUUUACACAUGCAAGUCGAACGGCAGCGCGGGCUUCGGCCUGGCGGCGAGUGGCGAACGGGUGAGUAAUUCAUCGGAACGUGCCCAGUAGUGGGGUCUAGCCCGGCGAAAGCCGGAUUCAUACCGCAUUCGACCUGAGGGUGAAAGCGGGGGACCGAAAGGCCUUGCGCUAUUGCACGGGCCGAUGUCGGAUUAGCUAGUUGGUGGGGUAAAGGCUUACCAAGGCGACGAUCCGUAGCUGGUCUGAGAGGACGACCAGCCACACUGGGACUGAGACACGGCCCAGACUCCUACGGGAGGCAGCAGUGGGGAAUUUUGGACAAUGGGGGCAACCCUGAUCCAGCCAUGCCGCGUGCGGGAAGAAGGCCUUCGGGUUGUAAACCGCUUUUGUUCGGGAAGAAAUCCUCUGGGCUAAUACCCCGGGGGGAUGACGGUACCGGAAGAAUAAGCACCGGCUAACUACGUG
rnacentral:rRNA from 1 species